UACGAAGGGGGCUAGCGUUGCUCGGAAUUACUGGGCGUAAAGCGCACGUAGGCGGCUUUCUAAGUCGGGGGUGAAAUCCUGGAGCUCAACUCCAGAACUGCCUUCGAUACUGGAGCUUGAGUCCGGGAGAGGUGAGUGGAACUGCGAGUGUAGAGGUGAAAUUCGUAGAUAUUCGCAAGAACACCAGUGGCGAAGGCGGCUCACUGGCCCGGUACUCGACGCUGAGGUGCGAAAGCGUGGGAGCAACA
rnacentral:rRNA from 1 species